ACGGAGGGUGCAAGCGUUAUUCGGAAUUAUUGGGCGUAAAGCGCGCGUAGGCGGUUUGUUAAGUCUGAUGUGAAAUCCCCGGGCUCAACCUGGGAAGUGCAUUUGAUACUGGUAGCCUUGAGUUUGGUAGAGGGAGGCGGAAUUCCUGGUGUAGCGGUGAAAUGCGUAGAUAUCACGCGGAACACCGAUUGCGUAGGCAGCUUACUGGACCGACACUGACGCUGAGGCGCGAAAGCGUGGGUAUCAAACAG
rnacentral:rRNA from 1 species